AUUGAACGCUAGCGGGAUGCUUUACACAUGCAAGUCGAACGAGUGGCGGACGGGUGAGUAAUAUAUCGGACCGUGCCCAGUAGCGGGGGAUAACUACCCGACAGAGUGGCUAAUAACGCAUACAAUUGGCGCGGUCGGUAUCGGAUUAGUGAGUGGGUGGGGUAAAGGCCCACCAAGGCAACGAUCCGUAGUUGGAUUGAGAGGACGAACAGCCACACUGGGACGGAGACACGGCCCAGACUCCUACGGGAGGCAGCAGUGGGGAAUUUUGGACAAUGGGGGAAACCCUGAUCCAGCCAUGCCGCGUGUGUGAGAAGGCCUUCGGGUUGUAAAGCACUUUUGGCAGAGAAGCGGUAUCUGCAGAAUAAGCACCGGCUAACUACGUGCCAGCAGCCGCGGUAAUUC
rnacentral:rRNA from 1 species